rnacentral:lncRNA from 1 species
CAAUUCAAUGGUAAACAGUGACAUUACAUGGGAAAUUAGUAGGACCAAAGCCAAAUGAAAGCUACACAUGUCAGGAACUAUUCUACCAAAUUUCAUGGUCAUAUCAUUCAUCAUGCUCAUUCUAUGCACAAAAUAAGGCAAACUAGUUCAAAGGAAGCACUAAGCCUACAAACAGAAUUAUUGCAUUCAUAUCCACAUCAACACAAUCCCAAAAAUUC